rnacentral:lncRNA from 12 species
UUCAGCAGCAGUGAAGGGCAGUUUUGCCAUUCAUGGGCAGGUGUGUGGCCAUGCAAAGAGUUGAAGAAAUUCCUUGGAACCUACAGAAGCAGUACUCAGGAAUGGCAGAGUGCAAAGCUGACACAUGGAAACAGGGAGCUUCUUGGAGUUUCCUAGAGAAAGCAGCCCUUGAAGUGUCAC